rnacentral:rRNA from 1 species
UGGGGAAUAUUGCACAAUGGGCGAAAGCCUGAUGCAGCAACGCCGCGUGAGUGAUGAAGGCCUUCGGGUUGUAAAGCUCUGUCUUCUGGGACGAUAAUGACGGUACCAGAGGAGGAAGCCACGGCUAACUACGUGCCAGCAGCCGCGGUAAUACGUAGGUGGCAAGCGUUGUCCGGAUUUACUGGGCGUAAAGGAUGCGUAGGCGGAUACUUAAGUCAGAUGUGAAAAUCCCGGGCUUAACUUGGGAACUGCAUUUGAAACUGGGUAGCUAGAGUGCGGGAGAGGAGAGUGGAAUUCCUAGUGUAGCGGUUAAAUGCGUAGAGAUUAGGAAGAACACCAGUGGCGAAGGCGGCUUUCUGGACCGUAACUGACGCUGAUGCAUGAAAGCGUGGGGAGCAAACA